GAUGAAGAACGCAGCGAAAUGCGAUACUUGGUGUGAAUUGCAGGAUCCCGUGAACCAUCGAGUCUUUGAACGCAAGUUGCGCCCGAAGCCAUUAGGCCGAGGGCACGCCUGCCUGGGUGUCACACGUCGUUGCCCCCCCAUCUACUCCUUCGGGAUUGCGGGGGGCGGAUGAUGGCCUCCCGUGCGCCUCGUCGCGCGGUUGGCAUAAAUGCCAAGUCCUCGGCGACGCACGCCACGACAAUCGGUGGUUGCGAAACCUCGGUUGCCCGUCGUGUGCGGUCGUCGCGCAUCGAGGGCUCGAAAAAAUUGCCGGGCUCCGGCUCGGCUUUCAACGCGACCCCAGGUCAGGCGGGGUUACCCGCUGAAUUUAAGCAUAUCAAUAAGCGGAGGA
rnacentral:misc_RNA from 1 species